UAUAUAUAUAUCAAUUUUAUUUUGUUGUUGCUCAUCAAAACAAAAAAAAAUUUUAUAAUUUUUAUAUUUUCACAUACAUAUACACAGAAAAUACAGUCCGAAAUUAUCUGUCACUUUUGGCCAUUUUUUCUGUUCUGUUCUGUUUAUUAUCCAAAUGAGUUUUGAUGGAUGGAUGGAUGGAUGGAUGGAUCAAUGCAUGGAUGAUGACCUCGUUCUUAAAACUUUUGAUUUUAAUUUCAAUUAAAUUAAAUUUUUUUUUUUUGAUAAAUAAAAACAUUUCUAAACAUAA